rnacentral:lncRNA from 1 species
GGCGGGGUUUAUUCACACUGUUGAGGGUGUUAGCCAGAGUUAAACAGUUAAAGUCUAUUUUUGCCAUCACUGUCAACACUGAAGACAUCAUGUUUGUCUUUACCUGGAUAAUAAUGCAACUUUGCAUGGGAACUUAUUUUGCUGAUACAAUUCAACCACUGUCUUCAGAAAAAUAUGUAGUUGAGGGUAAAAAUGUGACACUGUCCUGUAAAUACAGUACCAGUACUGGCAAUGUUAACUCUCUCCAGUGGUAUCGACAGUAUCUCAGAGCAAAACCAGAGUUCCUACUUUUUCUUGAUGAAUAUUCAACUAAAUCUGAGCCUGAUCUUCGUCUGUAUUCAAAAGCUACAAAAGAAAUCAAACGUGUGGAUCCUCUGCUGCUGUAUCAGACUCUGCUCUGUGUGAAUCCUGACACGUGUGAAGACGUACAUCUAUUUUUAUUUUUUAUUUUUCAUAAAUGUACCUCUUAUAUAAAUUGAUUAUGGAGAGAAUGUAGAAUGUUUUAUUAUUAUUAUUUUUAUUAUUAUUAUUUUCCCUACUUUAAAAAUUAAACUUCAUUUGUAAUGAUUUUUGGUAACCAUUAGAUGGCGAUAUGCACCAUAUAUUCAUAUUAUCAAGCCUCAUUACAGAAUUAGCUCCUCUUUUAAUAUUUAAUAAUUAACAGAUAUCUUAUUUACAGAUCUGUUGCUCUACCUUUUUCAUUGUCUAUACAAUAACAACAACAACAACAAAAUGAGUCUGGUUGAGGUUCUAUUAAUAUUCACAAUUGAUCUUGUUGAGAACCUCAGUAUUAUUUAAUGUGGAAAGAAGCUCUUUAAUGGAGCAGAACUGGGACCCCAGAGUCUCCUCGCUUUCAGUCGACAACAUCAGAAACAUCCACUCAACUCACUAUUACUGGUGUAACUCUGGCAGAUACAGCUCUUUAUUACUGCGCUCUAAGAGUUUGUGGUGCAAAUAAUUUUUUCCUCUUUGAAAAUGAAAAACAUCAAAACCACAAUCUUUUUAAACACAGACAUUAUUAAAU